AUUUCAAACGAAUGAACGAAGACCUCUUCAUUUGUUUGUUUGGUUUAUUACAAGGAGGGAGCUAUGUAAAAAUAGAGGCUUCAGGGAGCAGUGCUCCCUGCCACUUCCUAAGCCCCUAAUGUCCUCCUUCACUCAUGGUGGGGCAUCUAUUUACUAUCAGGCGGGAUAUAGUGUCCCCCCCAAACCCACAACCCAUUGGCCUUUUUUGGGGGCUGAAAAAAGGUUUUAGAAAAAAGAAGAAAUCAAAUGGUAAAUUUUUUUUUCAUUU